rnacentral:lncRNA from 1 species
UGAGCCGUUUUCGAUGAUGAAAUUUUCGAAUCGACGAUCGGCUCCGUUAGACUUGAUGUAGGGUAUUUGAAGUUUCUAGAAAAUAAUUUUUGCGAUUUUUCGAUAUAAUUUACCUAGUGAUCGAAAGGAUUCAAAAUCAAUAAUUUUUAAUGGUUGAUAUCUGCCGUUUUCAAGCUUAACGGUGUAGAAGUAUUCAAAUCAGAUGAAAUUUUGAUACAAAAUUCUUUAUACUAUCUACAACAAGAUUAAUAUUUCUAAUCGAAAAUUCUAGUGCUAUAUCACUACUUUUUAUGAGAUUUUUAUUUUCAGCCGUUAAAAAUUAUUAAUUUUGAAUUCUUUCAAUUGCUAGAUAAAUGAUAUCGAAAAAUCGCAAAAAUUAUUUUCUAGAAACUUCAAAUACGCUAGAUCAAAUCUAAUGGAGCCGAUCGUCGAUUCAAAAAUUUCAUCAUCGAAAACGGCUCAGGAGCACGAAGGCCUCCAUGCUCCUGAGAGUACAGCAGUCCUGCUCUCUCUCUCCCUCUCUCUCUCUCUCUCUAUAUAUAUAGAGCUAGGCUGGUAUACUAUCGGUAGCACCGAGGCCUUCGUGCUAUGAAGUUGUUUUCAAUGAUAUCGCUUUCAAAUCGACGAUCGGCUCCGUUAGACUUGAUCUACACUAUCAAAAAUAUUUGAAAACUAAAUUUCAUAAUUUGUCGACAUCAUUUGGCCAGUGAUCAAAAUAUUUCAAAAUUGACAAUUUUAAUGGUAGAUGUGAUGCAUUUGUAAAUUUAACGGUGUAAAACAAUCCAAAUCAGAUGAAAUUUUUGUAGAAAAUUAUUUUUACUAUUUAGAAAAAGACCAGUAUCUCUGAUUUUAAAUUCAAGUGUUCUAUCAUCAUUUUUUAUGAGAUUUUUAUUUUCAGCCGUUCAUUUUUAAACUACUCGUUUAAUAGGUAAAUGACGCCGAAAAAUUAUGAAAUUUAGUUUCCAAAUACUUUCAAUAGUGUAGAUCAAGUCUCACGGAGCCGAUCGUCGAUUUGGAAGCGGUAUCAUUGAAAACAACUUGGUAGCACAGAGGCCUCG